CUACGGGUGGCUGCAGUGGGGAAUAUUGCACAAUGGACGAAAGUCUGAUGCAGCAACGCCGCGUGGAGGAUGACACAUUUCGGUGCGUAAACUCCUUUUAUAUAGGAAGAUAAUGACGGUACUAUAUGAAUAAGCGCCGGCUAACUCCGUGCCAGCAGCCGCGGUAAUACGGAGGGCGCAAGCGUUACUCGGAAUCACUGGGCGUAAAGAGCGUGUAGGCGGAUAGAUAAGUCAGGAGUGAAAUCCUAUGGCUCAACCAUAGAACUGCUCUUGAAACUGUCUAUCUAGAAUAUGGGAGAGGUAGAUGGAAUUUCUGGUGUAGGGGUAAAAUCCGUAGAGAUCAGAAGGAAUACCGAUUGCGAAGGCGAUCUACUAGAACAUUAUUGACGCUGAGACGCGAAAGCGUGGGGAGCAAACAGGAUUAGAUACCCCAGUAGUC
rnacentral:rRNA from 1 species